CCUACGGGUGGCAGCAGUAGGGAAUAUUGCUCAAUGGGGGAAACACUGAAGCAGCAACGCCGCGUGGAGGAUGAAGGUUUUAGGAUUGUAAACUCCUUUUGUUAGAGAAGAUUAUGACGGUAUCUAACGAAUAAGCACCGGCUAACUCCGUGCCAGCAGCCGCGGUAAUACGGAGGGUGCAAGCGUUACUCGGAAUCACUGGGCGUAAAGAGUGCGUAGGCGGGGUAAUAAGUCAGAUGUGAAAUCCUGUAGCUUAACUACAGAACUGCAUUUGAAACUGUUACUCUGGAGUGUGGGAGAGGUAGGUGGAAUGCUCGGUGUAGGGGUAAAAUGCGUAGAGAUCAAGAAGAAUACUCAUUGCGAAGGCGACCUGCUGGAACAUUACUGACGCUGAUGCACGAAAGCGUGGGGAGCAAACAGGAUUAGAUACCCUAGUAGUC
rnacentral:rRNA from 1 species